UGGGGAAUAUUGCACAAUGGGGGAAACCCGUGAUGCAGCGACGCCGCGUGAGCGAAGAAGUAUUUCGGUAUGUAAAGCUCUAUCAGCAGGGAAGAAAAUGACGGUACCUGAGUAAGAAGCUCCGGCUAAAUACGUGCCAGCAGCC
rnacentral:rRNA from 1 species